rnacentral:misc_RNA from 1 species
AAUGAUACAAUUAUAUAAUUAUUUUUUGCAUUUUGUUUAAUUAAAUGCAUAAAAUAAAAAGACCAGGGUGUUGGUAGCACCCUGGCUCUGUACAAAAGCUGCCCAUCAAAGGGCUUGCUCGUUGUCAAAUCUGCGUAGGCCUAACCCUUCAGGUGUCCAAACUCAAGGGAAGGUCUAUUU